rnacentral:tRNA from 1 species
GGAUCGGUGGUGUAGCCCGGUUAACACGUCUCCCUGUCACGGAGAAGAUCGCGGGUUCGAAUCCCGUCCGAUCCGCCA